GUCAGGCAUAAAUCAUCACCGUAAGGAUGAGAACCAGCCGCCUGGAGCUCUUCGAGACACUCUGGGACAAACAGACUCAUGCCGUAUGGUAAUGUGGGGAACAGACGAGUGGAAGAAGGCUGUGUUUCUCUGCUCCCCUGGCUCCGGCCGCGCCGCCGUUGGAUAUGACACCAGAAACUGGCUCCAAAUGUGGAUACGUUUUCCAAAAAGGUGGUUUUUGCUGCCUCUCACGCGCGUCCCUGAGGAGAUGGAUCAUCCUGUGCAUGGAUCUAACUUUCACACUCAACUUUGAUUAACUCAUUAAAAAUCUCCC
rnacentral:lncRNA from 1 species